UGGGGAAUAUUGCGCAAUGGGGGAAACCCUGACGCAUCGACGCCGUGUGAGGGAAGAAGGCUUUCGGGUCGUAAACCUCUGUCAGGAAGGAAGAACCUCUCAAGGCUGAACAAGCCUUGGGACUGACGGUACUUCCAGAGGAAGCACCGGCUAACUCCGUGCCAGCAGCCGCGGUAAUACGGAGGGUGCAAGCGUUAAUCGGAAUCACUGGGCGUAAAGCGCGCGUAGGCCGUCUUUUAAGUCGGACGUGAAAGCCCUCGGCUCAACCGGGUAACUGCGUUCGAUACUGGGAGACUUGAGUCCUGGAGAGGGUGGCGGAAUUCCGGGUGUAGGAGUGAAAUCCGUAGAUAUCCGGAGGAACACCGGUGGCGAAGGCGGCCACCUGGACAGGUACUGACGCU
rnacentral:rRNA from 1 species